CAGCCCCGAAUUUUAAAAAAAGAACAGAAAGCUUUUAUGCUCUCUUCCCCUCCCCCUUUUUCUUUCUGUCAAUUGGGUUCCUCAGAGACCCGCCCUACCGCCACCGACGACGGCGAUGACCGUCGUGUACAGCGAAGGAGCGCAACCCAAGUGUGUCAGAGGCAUGCGAGGCCGGUGGUUAGUGCCCCGAGCGGUGCUGGUAGCGCGCGUGAUGGCCAAGGGCAGAGGGAGGAGUGACGGCUGAGGCUGAAGGAGGCUAGGGUUGCUGAAAAAUCCUAAACAAAUGGGCUAUUAUUUGGGCUAGGGUUUGAUGUAAAUUGGGUUUGGGUAGUUUUGGGCUAAAAUUUGGGUAUUGGGUUUUAAUAAUUUUGGGCCAUGUAUUGGACUAUUUUUUUUGUUUAUUUGGUUUGGGUUCUUUUAGGCCAAAAUUGGCUAUUACAAUUAGAAUAGCUUACCCCUUCCCCAGCAUGUUGUUCAAUCAUCAGACGACAUAUCAAGACAGUGUACGACCUCCCGAUAGCCAGAUAAUGACUCCAUCUACGAAAGCAAAUUACAUGUUAGAAUAGUAUCGUUAGAAUAGUAUCAUUAGAAAUAAAAAAAGUCAAUUAAUAACAA